CCAAGCCACAGGCAAGUCAACAGACACUUCGGCACCAAUUGCCAGCCGGCGUCUGUGUUACGUUUGUGGAAGAUGAAAUGCCACCGGCUCUGUCUACGCUCUUUGGUUACCUCCGUUUUGGCGGUAGCUGCUGAGUGUUGGGGUUGGUGCACGUGCUCCGGUUUUAAGUAGAAGAUCUCACGUUCAUUGGAUUUCUUCGCCGAAUGCGGCACAAACAAUAU
ensembl:snoRNA snoRNA:CG32479-b